rnacentral:rRNA from 1 species
AUUGAACGCUGGCGGCAUGCUUUACACAUGCAAGUCGAACGGUAACAGGCCGCAAGGUGCUGACGAGUGGCGAACGGGUGAGUAAUGCAUCGGAACGUGCCCAGUCGUGGGGGAUAACGCAGCGAAAGCUGCGCUAAUACCGCAUACGAUCUAUGGAUGAAAGCGGGGGACCGUAAGGCCUCGCGCGAUUGGAGCGGCCGAUGUCAGAUCAGGUAGUUGGUGGGGUAAAGGCUCACCAAGCCAACGAUCUGUAGCUGGUCUGAGAGGACGACCAGCCACACUGGGACUGAGACACGGCCCAGACUCCUACGGGAGGCAGCAGUGGGGAAUUUUGGACAAUGGGCGCAAGCCUGAUCCAGCAAUGCCGCGUGCAGGAAGAAGGCCUUCGGGUUGUAAACUGCUUUUGUACGGAACGAAACGGUCCUGGUUAAUACCCGGGGCUAAUGACGGUACCGUAAGAAUAAGCACCGGCUAACUACGUGCCAGCCGCCGCAGUAAAAC